GUUGGCAAAUAAUGAAAUGUCCUGAUGGCUUAAACACCCACUCACUUUCAAAGAUAUUGUCAAUUUGCUGAAGUUGAUUAUGUCAAAUUAACAGCUAACAAUUAAUCAAUUCCUUGGCUUGCAUCUGAGUAAAAUGUAAUUCAA